UGGGGAAUAUUGCACAAUGGGCGCAAGCCUGAUGCAGCGACGCCGCGUGAGGGAUGACGGCCUGGUUGUAAACCUCUUUCUACCCACUGACGAAGCGCAAGUGACGGUAGUGGGAGAAGAAGCACCGGCCAACUACGUGCC
rnacentral:rRNA from 1 species